UACGUAGGGGGCAAGCGUUGUCCGGAUUCAUUGGGCGUAAAGAGCGUGUAGGCGGCCAGGUAGGUCGGUUGUGAAAACUGGAGGCUCAACCUUCAGAGGUCGACCGAAACCAUCCGGCUAGAGUCCGGGAGAGGAGAGUGGAAUUCCUGGUGUAGCGGUGAAAUGCGCAGAUAUCAGGAAGAACACCCGUGGCGAAAGCGGCUCUCUGGAACGGUACUGACGCUGAGACGCGAAAGCGUGGGGAGCGAACAGG
rnacentral:rRNA from 1 species